rnacentral:lncRNA from 1 species
CAGUCCUCUGUCCUCAGCCUCCCCACUCAUCAAGCUCUUUUCCUGCCCUUCCGCCAAACUGAACCUCCAGCCAUUUCGGGAACUCCACGGUGGCCACCGGCACCUUCUAACCAGAACUCGGCACGGGAGGCUCAGCUGGAGCCAGGGCUUGCCUGCUCUACUGGGCCUCUCGUUGGCACAUCCUGAGCACUACAGCCUUCCAUCAGGACUUAAGACGGAGUGGUGGGCUCCUCGGUAGAUAGGUAGGGUCCCCGAGGAUAGGUUCCUUGGGGACAGACAGAUCUAGGUUCUAGUCUGUAGGGACCAGGAUUAAGUUCAGCUGUGGGUGACAGACACCACCCCGAGGAGAAAAACAGUGCCAAAAAGACAGAAGUUUAUUUCUCUCUCAAACAAUCAAGAACCUAGAAGCUGGAAGAUAAGUUUCUCAGAGUCAAUGUCAAUCAUUCUUUCUUGCUGCUCAGCUCUCCUGUUUAUUUUUAUUUUUUUUUAAAGAUCAGCACCUGAGCUAACAACUGUUGCCAAUCUUCUUUUUUUCUUCUUCUUCUUCUCCCCGAAGCCCCCAGUACAUAGUCGUAUACCCUAGUUGUGAGCGCCUCUGGUUGUGCUCUGUGGGACGCCGCCUCAGCGUGGCCUGAUGAGUGGUGUCAUGUCCGUGCCCAGGAUCCGAACCAGCGAAACCCUGGGCCGCCGAAGCAGAGCGCACGAACUUAACCACUCGGCCACAGGCCAGCCCCAGCUCUCUUCUUCAAGUGGCUUCCUCUUCAUGGUCCAUGGUGGCUGUUUGGUUCCAGCCCCUAGGAGAAGAAGGGGACAAAGAAGUGCAUGUUCUCCCUUUCAGGACACUCCCAGAACUGCACGCUGCACUUGUGCUUACAGCUCACAGUCAGAAUUGAGUCACGUGGCUAAAAUGGCCCCCAGGGAGGCUGGGAAGAGAGUCUCGAUUCCAGGCAGCCAUGGGCCUUAUUAAAGUGGAUCGCCCACGUUCCAGCAGCUGCGUUCACCGUGUGACAGGUUGGGAAGCACUGUCACACCAGCUUCAACACCCCUGUGAGCCCGAGCUGGGGGAGGAGAGUCACCCCAUAGAUCCGACGAGGAAAGCCAGACUCAGAGAAGGCGAGG